rnacentral:rRNA from 1 species
GACGGGGAGGGCGAGUGUUAUUCAGCGUAAUUGGGCGUAAAGGGCAUGUAGGCGGUUUAAUAAGUUCUAUAUAAAAUCUUAUAGCUCAACUAUAUAAAAAUAUAUGAAUACUAUUAGGCUAGAGUAUAGGAGAGGAUAGCGAUACUUUUAGAGUAAAGGUAAAAUUUAAAGAUACUAAAAGGGUCAUCAUCUAGCGAAGGCGGCUAUCUUGCUUAUAACUGACGCUGUCGUGCAAAAGCGUGGGGAGCAAACAGG